rnacentral:rRNA from 1 species
AACGAACACUGGCGGCAUGCCUAAUACAUGCAAGUCGAACGAUCCCUUCGGGGAUAGUGGCGCACGGGUGCGUAACGCGUGGGAAUCUGCCCUUGGGUUCGGAAUAACUUCUGGAAACGGAAGCUAAUACCGGAUGAUGACGUAAGUCCAAAGAUUUAUCGCCCAAGGAUGAGCCCGCGUAGGAUUAGCUAGUUGGUGAGGUAAAGGCUCACCAAGGCGACGAUCCUUAGCUGGUCUGAGAGGAUGAUCAGCCACACUGGGACUGAGACACGGCCCAGACUCCUACGGGAGGCAGCAGUAGGGAAUAUUGGACAAUGGGGGAAACCCUGAUCCAGCAAUGCCGCGUGAGUGAUGAAGGCCUUAGGGUUGUAAAGCUCUUUUACCCGGGAUGAUAAUGACAGUACCGGGAGAAUAAGCUCCGGCUAACUCCGUGCCAGCCGCCGCUGUAACAC